rnacentral:sRNA from 1 species
GAUGAGGAACCACUAUGAACGAAGUUCAUAAUCGGAAUCGGUUCCGACAACCUGCCGCCGAGCGUAUGCGGGGGCAUCACAUU